UAGGAAUUUUGCGCAAUGGGGGAAACCCUGACGCAGCAACGCCGCGUGAAGGAUGAAGGCCCUCGGGUUGUAAACUUCUUUUAGCAGGAAAGAAAAAAAUGACGGUACCUGCAGAAAAAGCACCGGCUAACUCUGUGCCAGCAGCCGCGGUAAUACAGAGGGUGCAAGCGUUAUUCGGAAUUACUGGGCGUAAAGAGCGCGUAGGCGGUUUGUUAAGUUCGUUGUGAAAGCCCUGGACUCAAUCCGGGAAGUGCAGCGAAUACUGUCAAACUAGAGUAUAGGAGAGGAGAGUGGAAUUCCUGGUGUAGAGGUGAAAUUCGUAGAUAUCAGGAGGAACAACAGUGGCGAAGGCGACUCUCUGGACUAUUACUGACGCUGAGGCGCGAAAGCGUGGGGAGCAAAC
rnacentral:rRNA from 1 species